ACGUACACUCCUGCGGGAGGCAGCAGUGGGGAAUAUUGGACAAUGGGCGCAAGCCUGAUCCAGCCAUGCCGCGUGAGUGAUGAAGGCCCUAGGGUUGUAAAGCUCUUUCACCGGUGAAGAUAAUGACGGUAACCGGAGAAGAAGCCCCGGCUAACUUCGUGCCAGCAGCCGCGGUAAUACGAAGGGGGCUAGCGUUGUUCGGAUUUACUGGGCGUAAAGCGCACGUAGGCGGACUAUUAAGUCAGGGGUGAAAUCCCGGGGCUCAACCCCGGAACUGCCUUUGAUACUGGUAGUCUUGAGUUCGGGAGAGGUGAGUGGAAUUCCGAGUGUAGAGGUGAAAUUCGUAGAUAUUCGGAGGAACACCAGUGGCGAAGGCGGCUCACUGGCUCGAUACUGACGCUGAGGUGCGAAAGCGUGGGGAGCAAACAGGAUUAGAAACCCGGGUAGUCCCAUGA
rnacentral:rRNA from 1 species